AGUGAACGCUGGCGGUAGGCCUAACACAUGCAAGUCGAACGGCAGCACAGUAAGAGCUUGCUCUUACGGGUGGCGAGUGGCGGACGGGUGAGGAAUACAUCGGAAUCUACUUUUUCGUGGGGGAUAACGUAGGGAAACUUACGCUAAUACCGCAUACGACCUACGGGUGAAAGCAGGGGAUCUUCGGACCUUGCGCGAUUGAAUGAGCCGAUGUCGGAUUAGCUAGUUGGCGGGGUAAAGGCCCACCAAGGCGACGAUCCGUAGCUGGUCUGAGAGGAUGAUCAGCAACACUGGAACUGAGACACGGUCCAGAAUCCUACGGGAGGCAGCAGUGGGGAAUAUUGGACAAUGGGCGCAAGCCUGAUCCAGCCAUACCGCGUGGGUGAAGAAGGCCUCCGGGUCGUAAAGCCAUUUUGUUGGGACAGAAAAGUAGCCGGUUAACACCCCGCUGUUCCGAAGGUACCCAAAGAAUAAGCACAGGGGACCUGCGG
rnacentral:rRNA from 1 species